GUAGGUGGCAAGCGUUGUCCGGGAAUUAUUGGGGCGUAAAGCGCGCGCAGGCGGUUCUUUAAGUCUGAUGUGAAAGCCCACGGGCUCAACCGUGGAGGGUCAUUGGAAACUGGAGAACUUGAGUACAGAAGAGGAAAGCGGAAUUCCACGUGUAGCGGUGAAAUGCGUAGAGAUGUGGAGGAACACCAGUGGCGAAGGCGGCUUUCUGGUCUGUAACUGACGCUGAGGCGCGAAAGCGUGGGGAGCAAACAGGAUUAGAUACCCUGGUAGUCCACGCCGUAGCGAUGAGUGCUAAGUGUUAGGGGGUUUCCGCCCCUUAGUGCUGCAGCUAACGCAUUAAGCACUCCGCCUGGGGAGUACGGCCGCAAAGGCUG
rnacentral:rRNA from 1 species